rnacentral:misc_RNA from 1 species
GAUGAAGAACGUAGUGAAAUGCGAUAAGUAAUGUGAAUUGCAGAAUUCAGUGAAUCAUCGAAUCUUUGAACGCACAUUGCGCCCGCCAGUAUUCUGGCGGGCAUGCCUGUCUGAGCGUCAUUUCAACCCUCAAGCAACUUCUGCUUGGUGUUGGGGAUCGGCCGUCAAACGCCGCCCCCGAAAUCUAUUGGCGAUCUCGCUGUAGCUUCCUAUGCGUAGUAGUAACAUCUCGCAUCUGGAGAGCGGCGCGGUCAUGCCGUAAAACACCCAACUUCUCAGGUUGACCUCAGAUCAGGUAGGACUACCCGCUGAACUUAAGCAUAUCAAUAAGCGGAGGA